UGCAAUAAGACUGUACACAUAGAUGAAUACAUAUAUCAUUUUUAUUACUUUCGAUUUUAUUAUUAUUUUUCUAACAUACAUACUGCUCUCCUUCGAAGAAUAUUUUCUAUUAUUUAGGAAGGCCUUAUUUUCAAAAGAAUUUUUGUGUUGAGCUAAGCAAGACUCACACUUUUUAUAGUCAAUUCCCCAGCAUGAAAACCCAAUAGGCAGCCUACUUAAUCGUUACAAUACAUAGUAAGCCUGACCAAAAAAGUCAGUGGACGGCUGCCUCGCCCCAACAGAUUUUAUUUCUCCCGUAACAUACGAGUAAGGUGAAACCUACAAAUUAAAUCAUGAUUUACGGCAUGCUGGUGACACUCUCGACGGCAAUCUAUACUACGGUGGCCACCCUUUGGCAGGUUCAAUAGACCCUAAUCAAUUAGAUGAUGUCGUUUAGUCUUUUCAUUUUGGGUCUGUUCUGCAAGCCGUAUUUGAUAGUUCCCCUGUUGGCAGCUGGGUUCUUCAUGGUGCGCCGGAUCUUGCUGCGGCGGGCAAAGCGGACCCAAGCCUGGAAAUCGCCGGG